UACAGAGGGUGCGAGCGUUGUCCGGAAUUAUUGGGCGUAAAGAGCUCGUAGGCGGUUUGUCGCGUCGGCCGUGAAAACUUGGGGCUUAACUCCAAGCUUGCGGUCGAUACGGGCAGACUUGAGUUCGGCAGGGGAGACUGGAAUUCCUGGUGUAGCGGUGAAAUGCGCAGAUAUCAGGAGGAACACCGGUGGCGAAGGCGGGUCUCUGGGCCGAUACUGACGCUGAGGAGCGAAAGCAUGGGUAGCGAACAGG
rnacentral:rRNA from 1 species